rnacentral:rRNA from 1 species
UACGAAGGGGGCUAGCGUUGUUCGGAAUUACUGGGCGUAAAGCGCACGUAGGCGGAUAUUUAAGUCAGGGGUGAAAUCCCAGAGCUCAACUCUGGAACUGCCUUUGAUACUGGGUACCUUGAGUAUGGAAGAGGUAAGUGGAAUUGCGAGUGUAGAGGUGAAAUUCGUAGAUAUUCGCAGGAACACCAGUGGCGAAGGCGGCUUACUGGUCCAUAACUGACGCUGAGGCUCGAAAGGCUAGGG